CUGACACAUAACAGGGCCGCGAUGCUAACCGGUUAGCUCGACAAUGCUAAACCCUCCCGAGACAGAUGACGAUUGCCGCCCGCCCGUCCGCCCGAAAAUGUUGCUCGGGCUUUACUUUCUGAUUGCGAGCAACUUGCGCGGUUGGAAUUCUUUUCCACUGAAACCAAGAUUUCCUCGUAUUAUACGUCCGGCCGCUGUCCACUUCAACAGCAGCUUGACGGCCAGUUGACACGGCCGACGAAGAACCCACCUGGAGUUUGUACUGGUCUAUUCUGCUCUGUUAUGAGCGGUUCGGUCCAACUCAAGUCCACCGGUAGCGGAAGGUAAAAGAAAUCUGAGGAGGUAUUUUUUUUUUCUUCCUCUUUAUUUCCACUUUCUUCUUUGUCUUCUUUAAAUGUUAACGCCAACAGGAUGGGAUUCAUCUUCUGCCACCUAGCGGCGAGAAGGGGCCAAACAUACACAAGCUGGUAGGAUAGUUUUUAGGAUUUUUUCGUUGAUUUUUUUAAUAUUUUCAUUUUUGAGGGGCGUUGGGUGUAUUUCAGAAUAUUUCUCUUGUUUUUUUUUCAUUUUAUUUUUCCAAAAAUAUUUUCUCAGUUUCUUCACAAAGUUGUGACGUGGCCUCCGGCCCUCUGAGCGACAGGUGGGAAAUGGUCCUUAAAACUAUUGUAAAUUCUAAAAACUUUCAUUUGUCAUAUUUAUUGUUGCGUGUUCAGAUGCUGUUUGGAAAUAGACAUUCAUACUAAACAUUUCUUCAAUUAAAAAAAAAAGUAGCAUUAGCUUGCCUUUGUUAACCUUGUUGCAAUUGAUUGUAGUUGUCUAAUAAUGGCAUACAGUAGACACGUUUUGUAGCGACUCUUUACCUUAGAGGUCAUUUCUAUAGGUUAUAAAAAAAAAAAAAAAAAUCUCCAAAUACAUCAUUCGCCUUUUUACAUGGUGUUCCAUUUCUUUUCUGUCUCUUUGGUAUCACAUUACCCUGCAGACACCCUUCUUCUAACUUUAUCCAUAUAUAAAUAUAUUCUUCUGUAAACGUUCUUCCCUGAGGUAAAAUAAAAAAGUUAAAAAAAAAAAACUGUUGGCAGUCGACUUAAGCCAAUGGUUACACUAUUGUCUUGGGCCUUUUGAGAUUGUACUAACAAAAAUUCACGCCAAGAAACCUUCGAGACUUGAGCCAACAUGAUU